UACGUAGGCAGCAAGCGUUGUUCGGAAUUACUGGGCGUAAAGCGUGUGUAGGCGGUUGGGUAAGUCUGGUGUGAAAAUCUCCCGGCUCAACUGGGAGGGUGCGCCGGGAACUGCCUGGCUGGAGUGCGGAAGAGGAGAGUGGAAUUCCCCGGUGUAGCGGUGAAAAUGCGUAGAUAUCGGGGAGGAACACCUGUGGUGAAGACGGCUCUCUAGACCGCAACUGACGCUGAGACACGAAAAGCGUGGGUAGCAAACAGG
rnacentral:rRNA from 1 species